rnacentral:rRNA from 1 species
UUUGGUGGCGAUAGCGAAGAGGUCACACCCGUUCCCAUGCCGAACACGGAAGUUAAGCUCUUCAGCGCCGAUGGUAGUUGGGGGCUUCCCCCUGUGAGAGUAGGACGCCGCCAGGC